AACCACUGAAAUACUAAUAAACACUAUGAUGCUUCUUCCCAGUAACAAUACUCCUUCAAAAACUGAUAACAAUAAUGUGCAACCUUGCACUCUCAAAAGACCGCUCAAAACACAAUAAUUUCCAUCCAACACCAAAAAUAACAGACUUCACUCCAAUCAAUCUGAAUUCACAAAAUUUCUAUAAUCGCCAACUUCCUUUGUCAUAAUACACACACAGCUCUCAAUAAACAACAAUCAUAAUCUUCCAUCCAUAAUCAAUCUUUCAAUAACUUCUCAUAUAAUUCAAUCAUUCAAUACUCCAAUUA
rnacentral:lncRNA from 1 species